rnacentral:rRNA from 1 species
UACGUAGGGUGCAAGCGUUAUCCGGAAUUAUUGGGCGUAAAGAGCUCGUAGGCGGUUUGUCGCGUCUGCUGUGAAAACCCGAGGCUCAACCUCGGGCCUGCAGUGGGUACGGGCAGACUAGAGUGCGGUAGGGGAGAUUGGAAUUCCUGGUGUAGCGGUGGAAUGCGCAGAUAUCAGGAGGAAUACCGGUGGCGAAAGCGGCUCUCUGGAACGGUACUGACGCUGAGACGCGAAAGCGUGGGGAGCGAACAGG